rnacentral:rRNA from 1 species
GAUGAACGCUGGCGGCGUGCCUAAUACAUGCAAGUCGAGCGAACAGACGAGGAGCUUGCUCCUCUCACGUUAGCGGCGGACGUGUGAGUAACACGUGGAUAACCUACCUAUAAGACUGGGAUCACUUCGGGAAACCGGAGCUAAUCCCGUAUAAUCUAUUGAACCACAUUGUUCAAUAGUGAAAUACGGUUUUUCUGUCACUUAUAGCUGGAUCCGCGCCGCAUUAGCUAGUUGUUAAGGUAACGGCUUACCAAGGCUACGCUGCGUAGCCGACCUGAGAGGGUGAUCGGCCACACUGGAACUGAGACACGGUCCAGGGUCCUACGGGAGGCAGCAGUAGGGAAUCUUACGCAAUGGGCGAAAGCUUGACGGAGCAACGCCGAGUGAGUGAUGAAGGUCUUCGGAUCGUAAAACUCUGUUAUUAGGGAAGAACAAAUGUGUAAGUAACUAUGCACGUCUUGACGGUACCUAAUCAGAAAGCCACGGCUAACUACGUG